UACGUAGGUGGCGAGCGUUGUCCGGAUUUACUGGGCGUAAAGAGCGCGCAGGCGGUCGUACAAGUCGCGUGUGAAAGCCCCCGGCUCAACUGGGGAGGGUCACGCGAUACUGUUCGACUCGAAGGCAGGAGAGGGUAGUGGAAUUCCCAGUGUAGAGGUGAAAUUCGUAGAUAUUGGGAAGAACACCGGUGGCGAAGGCGGCUCUCUGGACCGAGACUGACGCUGAGGCGCGAAAGCGUGGGGAGCAAACAGG
rnacentral:rRNA from 1 species